AACCCACCGGUUAGGCCAGGUCAUGACAGGGCUUGCUUUUCGGCUUCAGAAGUGCCAGGGCCAAUGCUGAAUAGCUGGUAGGCAGAUGAACCCUCAGCACUAAUAAGAAGGAGGACACCAGAACAUCACUUGUUGGUACCAGUGUCCUUAUGGUGGUAUGAGUUCCCCAAAAUUGUUGAUACCAGCAUCUAUAUCCUCAGGAGGAGUCCCAGUUGCCUCCAUUCUUUAUGGGAGGCUCUUUAAGAUCAACAGGGAUAAUUCACCUAAAGAUCUUGAGAUGAGAUCAUUCUGGAUUACCUAGAUGGCUCAGAAAUUCAGUGACUAAUGUCCUUUUAAGAUACAGAAGAGGAAAAGACACAAACAGCGGAGAAGACCUUGCAAAGAGGGAGACGGGGUUUGGGUAAAAUAUUUUCCUUUACCCUCUCAUGUUAAUCUCUUGACAGUUGUGAUACCUCCUCUCUGGCCUGUUUCAAUCUUAUACAAUUAUGGUCAAACUUCUUUUGUCCUUUGUCUAUGAGCAGUAGAGAUCUUUUCAUACUUAAUUUGAAUUUGUAAUGUUUUUCUUCUUACAGAUGCAGAAUUCUUUUUUCUGCUUCUUUCUUAGCCUUUCUUUUUUGUUCCAUUUUGUCCAAAG
ensembl:lncRNA